GCCAGCAGCCAUAUUACACUGCAACUCACAACUGACAAACCACUGAAGCUACACAGUUGUGAGCCUGGUCAGUACCUGGAUGGGAGACCUCCUGGAAAAAACUAAGGUUGCUGCUGGAA
rfam:Lepisosteus oculatus linkage group LG6, whole genome shotgun sequence.